AUCCCGGUGGGCGCCUCCCGCACCCCCGGCCUCUCCCGGCCCGCGGCGGCCCCUCAGGCUCUGCUCGGUUACAGACUGUGGGGCCGCGAGCGCGGAAGCGGACCGCGCCUUCCGGUCCGCACCUCAGUGCCGGGCGGGAACGGCCGUCGGAGGAGCGCGGGCCGCGUCGCUCGUCCCCUGCCCGGCUGCGGCUGAGGCGCGGCAAAGCCAAAGCUGCUGCCUCAACGCACCUGUCUGCAGAGCACAGGAUGUGAGGGCGCAAGGCUCCCUGUCCUCCCGGUGUGCCGCCGCGGGACAGCCCCGGCAGAAGGGACGGCGUGUGGCCCCGAACUGCUUCGAGGUACUUUUUGUGGGCAGCCACAUCUUUGGGGUAUCCUGUGUGCCGUCAGGCAUCGCGUGAGUUCGGGCAUAAACCUGUGUGAAAAUAUGAGGUUUUUUACUAUAGCAAGUUCUCUUCUGACUGAAAAUGGUAUGAAACAAACCAGGAGAAGCCUGCUCCACAUUGCUCUUUAAGAUAGCAACCACGUUAUUUCACCCCCAGGCCGGCUGUUCUCCCUGGCUGCCCACAAGCCCGAGCUGUGGUGGCACCGAGCCCACAGUGCCGGCUGCAGAGCUGGGUCUGCACGGAGCGGGCCGGGCAACGCUGGUGGUGACGGGACAUGGAGGAUGAGUGUGUCCGUGGGGGUGCUGGGCCUGGGAGGGAGAUGUGCCCUCAGGAAAUAAUAAGAUGAUACCACUAGAACACUCACCUCUGAAAUCAUGAGAAGUUAGUGGAUAGUUUCUAUGGUACAGCUAUUUGACGAUAUCGUAGUGGUUAUCAUUCUGAAUUCAUUUCUAGCACCAUGCUGUUAGGGUCGAAUUAUUUAAUUAAGACCCGAUUUGUUAUAUUCUUUACUAUUGCUGAACCUUCUGUAACCUGUCCUGCCACAGCAAGCCCUGUGAGAAACACCUUUGGGUUGCUGGUUGGCAGUCAGUGCCCAGCAUUCCGUCUCCAGAAGUGUGCUGGGGAGUAGUGAGGUGCCUUUGGUGUUACAGAGUGAGCGAUGGCAGCGGAGGCAGUGACAGAUGGGACUGGUUCAGGAGUCCUUACUUCUGAAAGUUGUUGAGACAACAGCACAUCCCGUUUACAACUGUCACUUAAAUACGUCAUUGGGAAAAAACACAGUGCUCCUGCUUUUCAAAAUGUUUCCUGGCACACAGCGACAGCCUCCUUCCUUGCUUUGAGAUUUAGUUACAGUAGGAAUGUAAUGUUGCAGAAUUCAAGGCUGCUGUAGAAAAGGGCCUCUUUCAGUAAGUAGUCUUUCGGUUCUGUACACAGAUCAGAUGUGCCUCAAACGGACAGUAAUGGGAGAGCUUCUGUUGGUAUCUGGGGAGGGGGAAUGGUGGUGUCCCAGAGUACAAAAGAUCCUCUUACAUGAUGGAUAAUGGCUCAAAGGUGGCCACGGGAUAGCAGCCUUUCUCUGCUAUGCUAAGUGCCCAGACCAAGGCAAGGUACUAACAUAAGGUGGAGCAGUGUGUUGGCUGCCUUCUGGCAUGAGUUCAGCGUGAAUAGGGAGUGGGGAGCAGCGCUGAGAGAGCAGAUAAAACAGCCUGAAAGUCACAUCUAAGCUGGGCCAUUAUGGAAACCUGUUCUCCAGUUAGAUGAUGAGCUGAGGUAUGCCUACCCAGCAAUCUGUGCUGACAGGUCUGGCCAGAAUCUCUGGGGCUCUAAGUCACUCCUCGCAACAGGACUGGUACCAAUGCGCCGACACUUCCACCGCUCGCUUGGUUACUGCGGGUUCACACUUCAGGCAUUAAGAAGAAAACUACUGCCCGGGCAGUGCCAGCACCGUGCUCGAAGGUGGGGGAGGUGCUUGACUUUAUGCGUAGAUAUGUUGUGUUAAUAUUGUACCCUCGCACUUUGUAUAAUGUCCACAUGAUAGGUACAUUUACAGCAUGAAAUUGCACAGGUUGAAAAUAUGUGCAACCAAAAUGAGUUAAAUGCCUGUUAGAAGAGAUGCAUUUCGUUGAAAAUCUAUGAUGUCAAAUGCUAAUUAAAAUCUUAAUCUCUGAGUUUAAAAAAAAAAAAGAAUAACAAAAACAGCAAUAAUAAAUUUAUACCAACAUCCCACGAAAUUAUGGAAAAGUAGAAAACUAGGCAUCCGUGGCACAAGGUAAGUGACAGUAGCAGUUUAUAUUUAAUGAAAUGUUAUGUCACUGCAGCUUCUAAACUGUGCAUUGGAGACGGAGGGCAAAUCUGUCAGAGCUGUUUCAUAUCCAUCUCAAAAUAGCUAAAUCAUAUGAUCACUUUUCCAUUGAAAUCGUUCAACUUUUUUAGUAAUAUGGCAUUUAAAUCUACGUAACCUUUCUGAUGUGUGGGUAGAGCGUUACAAAAAUAUAUUGCUUACAUCUCAGGAAUGUAUUUCUAGUUGGCAAAUUGCACUCUAUAAUAAAAUUAACUUUUAAUUUUGCAUUCACAAAAUACGUUUUACACUUUUAGCUGUUUCCAAUCAACUAGAACAGCUGUUCAUUUUAUCAAAUUAAAUGAUUAAUAUUCUUUAUCACACAGUUUGAGUACGUAUGCUGCUCAAGGUCAAUUCAAUCCUGAAUUUUAAAUCUUAAUGUCAUUGGUAGAAUAGACACAUCAAAUAAACUAAUUCAUCUCAUAGUUAAUUCAAAUUAAUUAAACUUUACUCAAAAAAAGAAGCUGUAAUACAACUUAGGAACUCAAGGUUGGGCACGUUUUCUGUAUUAAGAAGUGGCCUUUGCACUCUGACAAACUUUUAGCUGGCAAUAUUAACAACACUUUGUCCUCCAGACCAUUUUUUUUAACAUAUUGUUAUCCGGUUGUUUUUACUUAAGGGCAAAAUCAGAUGAGCCUAUUUUGGGGCUUCACCUCAACCAAGUUGUCAUUGUUGGUUUGAAUCAGACUUUCACCUGAGAGGGGGCUGCAGAAUUCGCCUUCUGGUCCACACUGGCUGGGGUCCACACUGCAGUAGUGCAACAGGAGUAUAAAACUGUAUUUCAUGGAACAAGGAGAAAAUAGGAGUUUCUCAACUACUGUUGUGGGAUUAUAAACAUAGCUGCCAAGGGUUUACUUUCUAGGCCCAUCAGAAGAUGAUAGAUGCGUUGUUCAUAAGGUAAGUGAAAAGGACAGAACAUGGGGUCGGAGUGAUGCUUUUGUUUCAGGAAAGGUAAAGGAUUUUCUUUCAAAUCUUUUGGUGCUAAAAAACCAGAAAACUACCGGCUCUGGCUGAAAUAGUAACCCUCGCUCCAUUGGUUACAUACUGAGAAACCCGCUUUAUUAAGAAAUGGGAAAUUUUGCAUGAAAUCAGUAUCAGAGCAUAGGCCAGUGUGCUAAGCCACCUUAGACAAUUUUUAACAUUGUUCUGGAUGGAUCCUGUCCCACAGGUGCCCCUAUUUCUGUGUCUGGAUGCCACGCCAUUCAGCUCCCCUUAUUUCCUAUUGUGAAUUUCUCUCUACUCACUGUUGCUAUGAUGCAUUUGUAUAUUUCUGCUGGAUCCCAAAGUCACAUGCCAGCAGUUCUUUCAACCUAUACUGUGAGACGUGUCCUCCCUAGAAACUCUCAGUGGGAUCCUUCUUUUCAUACUAAAUCAUAGGUGUAUUUUUUAAAAAAAACAUUCAUUUAUUUAAGAGAUUGUAUGAAGUUUUACAGUAACUACAACUUUUCAAUGUGUAAAUUUGCACUUAUUCCUAAAAUUAAUUGUAAACACAGAAGAAGUAGGGACUAUAAAAUGCUGAUGUUGAGAGACUUUUAUAUCAGACAAAAUGCAGGUGUUACUACUGCUCAGUGAUAUUGCAGUUGCUUUGGUAGACAUCUCAAGUUUCUCAGUAGGGUAAAUCCCUCUCUCUGUUCAGGUGCCUACAGCACAUCUGGGCACUUCUUAAUCAGCCUUGUUACUUUUUGUAGAUCUUGUCAGCCUAUCCCAGCACUGAGUGGGGAUAAACAUAAGAACAAUACCGAGUUUGUUAUCAGAUCUUACCACUUUCAGUUUCUCCAAUUAUUUCCUACCUCUUUGAGAUUCUUGUGAAUUCCCUGGUAGAGAUGUGUGGCCCGCCACUCUGGCAUGUGAUGGAGUCACCUCGCAGAUUUUCCUGACAAGCUUAUUAAAAAUACAUACAUGAAAUGAUCGCCUCACAGGUACCUUCAGUAGCCUUGCGUGUAAACUGCACUGAGGACCAGGAGGUGUCAGACAAGCAGCCAGACUGCCAGUCCUCAGGUAAGUCUCACGAGUGUAAUAAGGAUCCAAAGCCCUGCGCUGGUGAGCUGACUGGCUUUGAUCACAGCAAACCACUAGCAGAGUUGUGUGUAAUUCAAAGGUUCUUUUUAAAAAUAUUACUGCUUUUAUUUCUUGUGAAUAUUCACUCCCAACUGAUUUCAAGUCAUACAGGGUGUGUUCAUUUAUGGGCAAUGAAAAUUGAGUUCUGACCUUGUAACUGUGACAGUUCAGUGGGGGAGUAUGGAUAGUGAGAUCUGGCCUUUGACCUGGAGGUCACUGAUUUUUCUUCUCAUCUCUUAAUUUUGCUGCGGAAGACAUUCACUGAAGCACUCGUGAAAUCCCAGCACGUCCCUGACCCAGCUGGCAGUCAGACCUCUGCUCAGCCAUGCCUGUCACAGCAGCACAGCUGAGUGCUCAGGCCCCGUGUGCUCACUGUGCACACAGGCUAAAAGAGAAGCUGUGCCAGCAGAAGUGCUGCCCUACCUGUGCAGCUGCAUCUACUGUCCAGUCUUCUGCAGAUGUCACAGUCACAGAAUCAUAGAAAUACACAUUAUAUGUAUUUUGUUGUGGGUUUUUUUUCCUCCCCGUGAUUGGCAUAACAGUGCGUGCAGCAGCAUGUGGUCAAACCCUGGCCUGCUCCAUCCUCAA
ensembl:lncRNA